rnacentral:lncRNA from 1 species
GUUAAUUAGCUUGUACGUCGGAGGGUUAAUUAACACAUGUCUCCUAAACAAAGGACAGUUGAACAAAACUGAUGCACAUUCCAGACUAGUUGUGUUGUACAAGUGUGUCGAAUGUCAGGGGAAUCGGUGAGGUACAUGAGACUCGUCUGCAUGAUCCUCACAUUGUCUCUCUCUUAAUACGACCAAAAAACACAAAUAUGUAUAUUUGAUUCUAGCACGUGAGGAAUUACACGAUUUUAUAACUAAUGUCUUCCGAACAGGACCUAUUUGAGCCUUGCGUGAUUGAAAUUUUGUUUUUUUUAGCCAAGCAACAGCGACGCCCACUUUUAAUAUAGAUGUGUAGUCAAAACAUUUCAAGUUACCGCGACAUGUGACUAAAUUCCUGUUUAAUUAAGAUAGGCAAUGCCAUGUUUAAUUAAUAAAGGCGAUGCCAUCAAAAGACUCUUGUGCAGCUUUAAAGCCUGAACUCGGGAAGAGAUAAUAACAGAAAAAAAAAGAAGACUUAAAAGAAGUGAUUUAAAUGGACAAUGAUACCUUAAAGUGUGUUAAAGUAAUAACACGUCCCUUGUUAGCAUUGUAGUUGUAAAUACUAUUAACAUACAAAAUAUAAAAUAUGUCAAGAUGAUUCAAGAAUGACCUUUAAACUCACGAUCGCUUUGCCUAAUAUUACCUCCCUUAUCCUAGGUUUGUUAUCAAUCAAGCAUGCCAGUUAUUUCUGUACUGAGGAGUUAAAAUUAGAAAAUGUAGAUGUCGGUUUUUUUGUUUUUUUUCCUUACACAAAGGGUCAAAACAAAAGCACACAGUUGAAAUCGUUAGAAUUCAGACUGACACCCCUUAUUGUAGGCACUGUCAAUAAAGCCCCGAAAAAAUAAAACCGAGACCGUGUCAAACUAGCUAUUACGGCAUUUCCCUUUGUAGAUACAAAAUACCUGCAAAGAGUCAAACAAUUGUGCGUGUCUUUUGAGCGUAAAGUUCAACCAGGUCUUUGGAUGGACACUGAAGGACUUAACGACUUAAAUGGUUUUCACUUGAAACUGUUGGGAGAGCAUUUUACUCUUGUCUACGUGUUUGAUGGCCAAACGUUAAGCGCGCGUGCUUCGCCGACCAAGAAACGCCGUUACAUUAAGGAAAUCUAAACUAGCUAGUCUCUCAGGAGUGGAGGCCAUCCUGAUUUCAUUCAGUAUGAUAAACAUUACGUCAGCUUGAUGUCUCACAUAUCCAUCUUGGUGAUUUGGGAGAGAGCAGAUGGAGAGCAACAAAAGCUGUAAUUUUUCUUUGCAUCUACCAUCAUAGUAAGUGUUGCACAGGAAAAAUGAAUUGUUAUUUUGUUUUUAUCUUUUUUUGCUUAUUCUGAACUGGUAACUCAUCACAAAUUCGUCCCGUAUUCAUUACGCAGAGUGUGAUAAUCGGAAGACGUUUCGCCAGAUAAAUUAUUUGUUAACUACAAAAUGUAAAUAAUAUAACAAAUUUCACCUCUUUUGUUUGCGGAAAGGCACAUGUUUACAAAAGGACCUUUGCUCAUCAGCUAUUUGAAGGAGAAAAGUUGCCUCUGAAUGGUCCAUCUUGCACAAUGACUGUAAUGUUUUCUCUUAUGCCAAAGGAGACUCCAUCAUCUUUAAUUGACUAUACCGAUGGUCCUUUUCGACAGAUGAAAACACUGAGUAACAAUUUUCAAGGACUGUAUUCGCCUUUUUUACCCCUAGUGAAGACCAGAUGUGAAAACUGUUUUCCAUCCGAAAAAGAUCCUUGUUACUCGGUUCUGUCAUAGAAAAACCGAUAAAUCAUUUGAAAACUACGGCAUAGCAAUAACGAUGCGGAGAACAACUUCUUCUGAAACGAUAUACGCCAUCGGCAAUGCACUGUACAACAUUCGAAAGCACUUCGUUAAGUUCUCCACCAGUAAAUCGAAGCAGAACAAAAAGAAGUCCACGGAAAAAAAAAAACAAAACAAAACAAA